rnacentral:rRNA from 1 species
AACGUAGGAGGCAAGCGUUAUCCGGAGUUACUGGGCGUAAAGCGCAUGUAGGCGGUUGGGCAAGUUGAGUGUGAAAGCUCCCGGCUAAACUGGGAGAGGACAUUUAAGACUGCCCGGCUAGAGGUCGGUAGAGGGGCGCAGAAUUCGGGGUGGUAGCGGUGAAAUGCGUAGAGAUCGGGAGGAAUACCAGUGGCGAAGGCGGCCUUCUGGACUGACACUGACGCUGAGGCGCGAAAGCCAGGGGAGCAAACGGG